rnacentral:rRNA from 1 species
AGAGCGAACGCUGGCGGCAGGCUUAACACAUGCAAGUCGAGCGGGCGUAGCAAUACGUCAGCGGCAGACGGGUGAGUAACGCGUGGGAACAUACCUUUGGUUCGGAACAACCCAGGGAAACUUGGGCUAAUACCGGAUAAGCCCUUACGGGGAAAGAUUUAUCGCCAAAAGAUUGGCCCGCGUCUGAUUAGCUAGUUGGUGAGGUAACGGCUCACCAAGGCGACGAUCAGUAGCUGGUCUGAGAGGAUGAUCAGCCACAUUGGGACUGAGACACGGCCCAAACUCCUACGGGAGGCAGCAGUGGGAAUAUUGGACAAUGGGCGCAAGCCUGAUCCAGCCAUGCCGCGUGAGUGAUGAAGGCCCUAGGGUUGUAAAGCUCUUUUGUGCGGGAAGAUAAUGACGGUACCGCAAGAAUAAGCCCCGGCUAACUUCGUGCCAGCAGCCGC